UACGAAGGGGGCUAGCGUUGCUCGGAAUCACUGGGCGUAAAGCGCACGUAGGCGGUUCUUUAAGUCGGGGGUGAAAUCCUGGAGCUCAACUCCAGAACUGCCUUUGAUACUGGGGAUCUUGAGUCCGGGAGAGGUGAGUGGAACUGCGAGUGUAGAGGUGAAAUUCGUAGAUAUUCGCAAGAACACCAGUGGCGAAGGCGGCUCACUGGCCCGGUACUGACGCUGAGGUGCGAAAGCGUGGGGAGCAAACAGG
rnacentral:rRNA from 1 species